GCCCGUUUAGCUCAGUGGUAGAGCGCGCCACUCGUAAGUGCGAUGGUGAGGUCGGUUGUUCAAACCAGCCAACGGGCA
rfam:Fibulorhizoctonia sp. CBS 109695 unplaced genomic scaffold FIBSPscaffold_18, whole genome shotgun sequence.